rnacentral:rRNA from 1 species
UACAUGGGGUGCAAACGUUGCUCGGAAUUAUUGGGCGUAAAGCGCACGUAGGCGGUUCGUUAAGUCAGGGGUGAAAUGCCAGGGCUCAACCUUGGAACUGCCUUUGAUACUGGAGACCUUGAGUCCGGGAGAGGUGAGUGGAAUUGCGAGUGUAGAGGUGAAAUUCGUAGAUAUUCGCAAGAACACCAGUGGCGAAGGCGGCUCACUGGCCCGGAACUGACGCUGAGACGCGAAAGCGUGGGGAGCAAACAGG